rnacentral:lncRNA from 10 species
UACCCCUUCACUUGAAGCCUCUGAUACUUUAAUUUCUUACCAGUUUGGCAUUAUCUAUUUCAUUUCAGCCACUCUGAUGGUUGUAUAUAAAUACAGUAUGUUACUUUUGAUUUGCAUUUUUUGAUGACUAAUGAUGAGUUGCAUUACUUUAUCUUAUUAAUUUGAAAGAGAUCCUUAUACAUUACAAUUAAGAAUUCUGUAUCAUAUAUAUGAAUAUAUAGUGAACAGCACCUCCCACUCUAUGGGUUGCCCUUUCACCAUGAAGUAUACCUUGAGGAACAGAAGUUCUUCUGGGAGACAAAAACCAAUGGAUGUGUGAAGUAUUGGAGUGAUGUUAACAGGAGCCCUGAGUGCACUGACUGUCCGCCUUGCAGUCCCACACUGUCGGCCUAGAGACCAGAGGAAGGAUCUAGGAGCAGGGAGAGAUCUGUGGCUCCUCUUUGUAUUCCCUCUAAUGAAGGUGUGAAGGUUAGAG